CUCCUAGUAUGGCUACGGCUAUGGAGCGGAAUAUUGAUGUCUAUGCGACUCGGUUGGCGGAUGUGACUAUUGAAACUAAGACGAGGACGAAUAUCGCGAUCGAGCUGCGCGACUCACUAGAGCAGCUAUGUUCCGGUCCCAGUUACACCAUCUUCCUGGCGAAGCUAUGGCCGGUGUUCAAGAAGAUACUCAAGGGCGAGCCGGUCUUUGUUAGUUUAUCUUAUGAACAGAAACUGCGCAACUGCGUCCUCGAAAUCCUCCAUCGACUCCCCUUAGACCUACCUGAUGUCGAACCAUAUGCCGGUGAUAUGGUCGAUCUCCUACUAGAGCUCGUUCGAAUUGAGAAUGAGGACAAUGCGGUCCUUUGUAUGAAAACAAUCAUGGAUCUGGAACGACGGCAGGCCAAAGCUACACAGACG
rnacentral:sRNA from 1 species